AGUCUUACAGAAGCCCGCACUGGGAGCACUGUGCUGGGAGUCCUUAGUCCUUCUUCUGGGGCAGUGGGAGGAGUCCAGGUUUUGGGGUUAGGGACAGCCCAGCUGGUUGGUUGGUUAUCUUUCUGCACCUCAGUUGCCUCAUCUGUAAAAUGGGGAUGGUCAUCACCCCUACCUCGUGGCAUUGUUGCAUCUCACCCUCAGCCCAAGGAUGUUGUAGCCCAACCAUCAGCAUUUCGUUCCUUGCGGAUGAGUCUUCUUCUGGCCUCUGGGAAUCUGUUUGAAGACACAAAUGCCCCUGGGAGGCUGCUGAUUUCCACUUGUCCAUCAGUCCAUCGACCUGUCCAUCCAUCACCCGCUGAAGGGAAGCAGAAAUGAAUACGAAGUGGAACCCACCUGUCCUCCAGAAACCCAGCAGAUCUGCUACCCGAGACGGGAUGGACAGCAUAGGCCUGGGGUUCAACGCUUCGACUGCUCUUGAGUCGAGACGACAGUCUUCCGGCCAAGAGCUCUCAAUAGCGCAUCCCUCCCCCUCUCGCCCAUGCAUU
ensembl:lncRNA